ensembl:antisense Gm16133 predicted gene 16133
AGAACAAUUCUGUUCUAUGUAGGAAUGCACCUCCUAACAACAAAAUCUGAAGACCCCCACCACAGCCACACACCCACAGGCACAGACACAGAGCUGAAUGUGCACUGAAGGAAAAUCAGACCAGAACUUGAUACAGGCAGCCAGGCAGCCUCAGCACCUUCCUGAGCCUAGCCAAUGACCAGGGCAGAUACAUGCUCUCCCAUUUUCCUGGCACUGAGAGGAGACAUCGUUACCCUGCACUACUAUGGGAGCUUGCCUCCACUAGGUCCCAGGGUCCAAGAGGCGCCGGCAGCACUGAAGAGGCUACUGAGGCCUGGAAGACAGCAGCACUGCACCUGUGCUAUUAGCCACACUAUAAUCCUUAACCUUACAUAACCUCACUAACCCCAUGGGAGGCAGACACUCUGACCUGCCAGGCCCUGACCUCUGCCUGGAAGCCUAGCCACUGGUGCCAAGACUCUAGAAGGACUCUUAGGCUCUUCAAAGAAGUUGGGGCCUCUGUAUGCAGGAGCUUCACCAAGAAGAAAACUUAGACAAGUCUUCAUUGGUUUUGUUGCUUUAAGCAUUUUUCGGCACUUGUUUGUUUCUGUUGAAUACUUUCUACUCAUGAAGAGUUGUAAGUUCGCUUUCUAAGUUUGUACUCACUGGUUUCUUCUCUCCCUUGUCUGCAAGAUCUUCAAUUUUAAGCAUCUGUUCCUUGAAAUGAAAACAGUAUUUUUAAAAA